GUAUAGGUUUUAUUAUUAUUAAUAAAUUAUUAUUAAAUAAUUGUAUUUAAAUAUACAGCCACAGAAGGUGCCAGCCCUGUUAUUUAAUAAUAUUUAUUAAAUUUAUAAAACUUUAGAGUCGUGUUGCUUGGAAGUGCAGCACAAAGUUGGUGAUAAACAUCAUCUAAGGCUAAAUAUUCCUAUGAAUCCGAUAGCGAACAAGUACUGUGAAGGAAAAUUGCAAAGUACUCCGGAGAGAGAGUUAAAGAGGACGUGAAACCGAUACGAUGGAAGCAUACAGAGCCAGUUGCACUAUUAUUAAUAUUUUUUUAUUAAUAAUUUUAAGCAUGGGUAUAUUGAUUAUUAAUUAGUUAUUUAUUAAAGAGUGAUAAAAUUUUUUAAAUUUUGUUAACUUUAAUAAAAUAAUUAUAUUUAUAAUUAAUAUUAUAUAUUAUUAAUGUAUUAAUAAUAUUUUAAUUAUUAAUAUAAUAUAAAACACAUGUGUUAAAUAUUAUUUAUUAAUAAUUAUUAUAUUAUUAUAAAUUAAUAA
rnacentral:rRNA from 1 species